AACCUCUCGGUCCGGUUAAUUGCCUCUUGCACCAUCGAAUGACCCUACCGAAACCCAGACGAAGAACCCCCAAAUUUUACCCAUAAAACCAAACUCAGACCGCUGCCUCCUCCAGCUCAAAGGCGAAAGGUGUAGUUGUUUCUUUUCUCCUCUUCUUUUCCUAAUUUGAUCUGCAUAUUAUAAUUUGAUAAUUUUUGGAAGGUUUGAAAAUUUGAAAGCAGAACUAUCUUGUGUAUUUUAACGAUUGAUUUACGAAUCCCUGCAUCAUGAGUUUCAGUUUCCAGAUUAAUUAAUCAGUAUCUUGUGGAUUUUAACAGGUGCGAAAUCUCUAGUUGUUUGGACUCAGGUAAAUUUGUUGUCGAAGCCACUUUUGAAUAUGUGUUUGUGAUUCUGUCGAAGUCACUCUUGGCCUCCUUCUUUUCAUUGUGAACUUGGACUCUUCAAAGGUGACAUGUUUGAAUCAUUUUUAGGGUUCCAUUUGACAGCGCACUCGCACUAGCCCAAAUUUCUUUAUAAUUAGGGAGUCUGUGAAUCAUAUUGCAUUUCAAGAUAUGAACUUUGCCCUUAUCUACACUUGCACUAACCUUCAAUUGUCAUCAUAAAUUUGCUACAUUUUCCUAAUGCUUGAAUUCCUUGUUUUUUUUCUCUCUCUUUUUGAAGGAGAUUAAUUAAUUAAUUAAUUAAUUAGUUAACGCAUUCAUUCAAAUGAAGGAUUGAGGCAGUUUUUGCAACAAAUAUUUUGAUACGAAGAUGCUUCUUUGAGCCUGGAAAUGCAAAUAUAUUGACCAAAACCAAUGAAUAGGAGGGAUUCGCAUGCUAGGCAGUAGUAAGAGUAGCAACAUAGUAGUCAUUUACUGUUUAAGCUAAUUUUGAGUUAGUCCCUACCCUUUUACCCAUUUAUCUUGAUUAUUAAUGGUCAUCUAUCUCUAUGGUAGGUAUUAACUGCAGCAUUAUGAUUAAAUGUCAUCUUCUGCUUUCCUCGAAUUUACUAAUUCAUGACUCUUAGAUUCUCCUCAUUUUUUUUUUUAACUUCCUUGAGCUUGUGGAUGUAUCUUUUAAAAAUAUCCAUUACAAUUGUGGUACACAUGGAUGUUGAGGUAAUUCAUAAUUUUCAUAUAACAGAGGCACAAGUGCUGUACAUGACAAUUGACAUUAGGUACAAUUUGUCUUAAUAUCUUGGAAAAAUUUGGUGUAGAGGAAUGGAAAUAGGCUUGAAGAUGAGCUGCCCCUUGAAGCAAAUGGGAGACUACACCAAGUCAAGGAGAAGGAGCUUAAUUAAUGGUAUUUUAAGGUUGUUGAUGAGCACAUGUUAUAUCUUAAUGUAUAUUCCUAAAAUAUAUUUAUUAGUCCUUUUUAUCUGAUAAAUUUAGUUUAUUUUGAUGAAAUUUUGUAUUGAUUAGAGUUAGAGACAUAAGGUUAAAUUUGGUGCACUACUUUGACUAAUUGUGGCUUCUAUUUGUUAUUGUUGGAGUUUUUCUUUUCUUUCUAAUUUUAUGUCUUUCUUUUUAAGGUACAAUAGACACGUUAGCUGGACACUUAUUUGGUAAUAUGUUGCAGGUAUUUUUCUCUAACAACAAAUGACGUGGAGAGAUAGUCUAGAGUCCUGAAUCUUUGCAUCAUGAGGAGGAUAUGGUUCAGUGGACAGAAAGUUAAGGCCAUGGGCUAAAGCUUUAUAGGCUGUUCUGUUUGAAAACCACAACUAGGUUGGUGCAUAUCUCUGUGUUUUGACGUGGGUUUAUCAAAUUGUUAUUGGUUCUUGAAUGCUUAUGUGAUCUUGAUUUAUCAUUGAUUGAAAUAACUCCAAGAGAUUAUGUACAUUGAUUCCCAUUUGUUUCUUCAAUGCGAAAUUUAAUUACUAUAUUGUCUACUCAUUCAAAUCAGAAAGUUACUUCUUUUGUAACAAUGGAGAAAUAAUCCUUUUACUUAUGGUAAACUGAUAUGUGAUCAUUGCCCUUUCCCUUUUUUUAUUCUUCACAUUUUCUGGAUAUCAGGAAGAAGACUGCAUAAUCAAGCAAGUUGGGAGACCCGGUGCUAAAAGAUUGUCUGUUCUUGCAAAGUUCUUACCAGGUUGAGUUAAUACUGUGAAAACUCACUUCCAGAUCUUGAGAGAACCAAUGAAAUGAAUGAUAAUAUGCAAAUUAGUUUGGUUUCCAAUUUAUAGGCAUUCUGUUUGUAUUUUAUUUAUAUUGAUAUAUACCUUAGCAUAUAGAGAGUACCUUACAAUUACCUUUUGGACAGAGGAAAGCCAAUACUCAAUUGAGUGAUUGUGGCAAAUCCAAUCAAGCAAGGAGAAACUCAAUGGCGAAUCAAGUCAAGCAAGGAGGAGCUGAAUGGUAGGUAAUGGUGAAUAGCAAGGUGGAGCUUAAUGAAAUUCUGUAUUUAUUCUCUUUUCCAAGUAAGUUUUUGGUUUUUAAUAUCAUAACUGUAAUAUCCUUGUUAAAGAGGUUGACCACUUGCAAUACUUGGUCUAUUUUCAGUAUGAAAAUAUUAAUGUAAUAGUCCUAAGGAUAGGUCCACCACAUGCAUCCCUAAACCCUAAA
rnacentral:lncRNA from 1 species